GACGGAGGGUGCAAGCGUUGUUCGGAUUGACUGGCGUAAAGGGACGUGUAGGCGGUUGGUCAAGUCUGAUGUGAAAGCCCGGGGCUCAGCCCCGGAAGGGCAUCGGAAACUAGCCAGCUGGAGCGCGAUAGAGGAGGGUGGAAGUUCCUGGUGUAGCGGUGAAAUGCGUAGAUAUCAGGAGGAACACCGGCGGCGAAGGCGGCCCUCUGGA
rnacentral:rRNA from 1 species